CGUUACGCUCUUAAGAUGAAUUUAACCACACUCUAUAUGCAGUCUUCAUUCAUACUGGACUUUUACAGAUCUUUUCUCAGUGUCAUCCAGACUGACUGGACAGAGAAGAAACUACUGAACCGUCCUUUUCCUCUUUUGACCAACAGAAUAAAUACGGGGGGGUGGUAAAGAUGUGCCCUUUUUAAAAGUGUUUCACAGUUUCAGAACAUUUAGCCAAUAGGCUGCCUUAUAUGAUUAAUUUGUCCUUUGGAUAAAUACCCGGAUGGAAACGCCUGGCUGGGAGAGCGAGGCUUCUGCACCACCACAGACUCAAAGGCAGGAGAGUGGCUCGUGUCCUACCAUGGGACAUCAAAGAUCGGCGCUCAAGGCAUCAUCAUAUCACAAUUCAGGAUUCUCCUGUUGGAUCUUCCAGCUCCAACUCUGCAGCCUCAAGAGAAACUGCUCAUCGACCUAAACAACACCCCCGACUUGAUCCGGACCAAUGGCAAGACCUGCACCACAACUCAGCAGCUGAUCGACCUGAGCUCUCCGCUCAUCAGGUGGAGUCCAGAAGACAAGAAGGAGGACAACGCUCCGCUCAUCAACCUCUCCUUCUGAUCCACAUCCUCCUGAACACGUGGACCUGCUGGCCUCUGCAGUAAACUGGACUCAACAGGUUUCUGUCUCCAGAAACUCUGUUGAUGAUCCAGUUAAGACAACGACAGAGUUUUGAAUCAGUGAAAUCUUUACUGAAUUCGGAGUAUUAUGUUUUAAAUUAUGAAAAUAUUCAGAGGAUGCUGAUGUUUUUCUGCACCUGACUGUACUUUUCAUCGUCUCUGUCUCGCUGCUCUUAUUAAUGUUUGAAUAAAUGUUGUUCUUGUCACUACUGUA